rnacentral:rRNA from 1 species
AUUGAACGCUGGCGGCAUGCCUUACACAUGCAAGUCGAACGGCAGCACGGGUGCUUGCACCUGGUGGCGAGUGGCGCACGGGUGAGUAAUACAUCGGAACAUGUCCUGUAGUGGGGUAUAGCCCGGCGAAAGCCGGAUUAAUACUGCAUACGAUCUACGGUGUAAAGCGGGGGACCUUCGGGCCUCGCGCUAUAGGGUUGGCCGAUGGCUGAUUAGCUAGUUGGUGGGGUAAAGGCCUACCAAGGCCACGAUCAGUAGAUGGUCUGAGAGGACGACCAGCCACACUGGGACUGAGACACGGCCCAGACUCCUACGGGAGGCAGCAGUAGGGAAUUUUGGCCAAUGGGAGAAAGCGUGAUCCAGCAAUGCCGCGUGUGUGAAGAAGGCCUUCGGGUUGUAAAACGCUGUUGUCCGGGAAGAAAUCCUUGGCUCUAAUCCAGUCGGGGAUUGACGGUACCGGACCAGUAAGCACCGGCUAACUACGUG